GUAUUGAUUGCGUGUGACCGCAAAAAUAACAUUCUACACUGUAUCGAGUUUGUGUGAAAACGUGAGCCCCCGAAAGGGGACCCACGCGGUGGUGCACAUAGGGGUGAGAUGGAUGUUUGAGAACGCUCGGGCGUGCACGACGAAAAAGUCAGCGACAGCCCUCGCGCCUCGGUUUUACGAUAAUGAUCCUUCCGCAGGUUCACCUACGGAAA
rnacentral:misc_RNA from 1 species